UACGUAGGUGACCAGCGUUUGUCCGGAUUUACUGGGCGUAAAGAGCGCGCAGGCGGUCGUUCAAGUCGAGUGUGAAAGCCCCCGGCUCAACUGGGGAGGGUCAUUCGAUACUGAUCGACUCGAAGGCAGGAGAGGGAAGCGGAAUUCCCGGUGUAGUGGUGAAAUGCGUAGAUAUCGGGAGGAACACCAGUGGCGAAGGCGGCUUCCUGGCCUGUUCUUGACGCUGAGGCGCGAAAGCUAGGGGAGCAAACGGGG
rnacentral:rRNA from 1 species